GACGGGUGAGUAAUGUCUGGGAAACUGCCUGAUGGAGGGGGAUAACUACUGGAAACGGUGGCUAAUACCGCAUAACGUCGCAAGACCAAAGAGGGGGACCUUCGGGCCUCUUGCCAUCAGAUGUGCCCAGAUGGGAUUAGCUUGUUGGUGAGGUAACGGCUCACCAAGGCGACGAUCCCUAGCUGGUCUGAGAGGAUGACCAGCCACACUGGAACUGAGACACGGUCCAGACUCCUACGGGAGGCAGCAGUGGGGAAUAUUGCACAAUGGGCGCAAGCCUGAUGCAGCCAUGCCGCGUGUAUGAAGAAGGCCUUCGGGUUGUAAAGUACUUUCAGCGGGGAGGAAGGUGUUGUGGUUAAUAACCGCAGCAAUUGACGUUACCCGCAGAAGAAGCACCGGCUAACUCCGUGCCAGCAGCCGCGGUAAUACGGAGGGUGCAAGCGUUAAUCGGAAUUACUGGGCGUAAAGCGCACGCAGGCGGUCUGUCAAGUCGGAUGUGAAAUCCCCGGGCUCAACCUGGGAACUGCAUUCGAAACUGGCAGGCUUGAGUCUUGUAGAGGGGGGUAGAAUUCCAGGUGUAGCGGUGAAAUGCGUAGAGAUCUGGAGGAAUACCGGUGGCGAAGGCGGCCCCCUGGACAAAGACUGACGCUCAGGUGCGAAAGCGUGGGGAGCAAACAGGAUUAGAUACCCUGGUAGUCCACGCCGUAAACGAUGUCUACUUGGAGGUUGUGCCCUUGAGGCGUGGCUUCCGGAGCUAACGCGUUAAGUAGACCGCCUGGGGAGUACGGCCGCAAGGUUAAAACUCAAAUGAAUUGACGGGGGCCCGCACAAGCGGUGGAGCAUGUGGUUUAAUUCGAUGCAACGCGAAGAACCUUACCUGGUCUUGACAUCCACAGAACUUUCCAGAGAUGGAUUGGUGCCUUCGGGAACUGUGAGACAGGUGCUGCAUGGCUGUCGUCAGCUCGUGUUGUGAAAUGUUGGGUUAAGUCCCGCAACGAGCGCAACCCUUAUCCUUUGUUGCCAGCGGUCCGGCCGGGAACUCAAAGGAGACUGCCAGUGAUAAACUGGAGGAAGGUGGGGAUGACGUCAAGUCAUCAUGGCCCUUACGACCAGGGCUACACACGUGCUACAAUGGCGCAUACAAAGAGAAGCGACCUCGCGAGAGCAAGCGGACCUCAUAAAGUGCGUCGUAGUCCGGAUUGGAGUCUGCAACUCGACUCCAUGAAGUCGGAAUCGCUAGUAAUCGUGGAUCAGAAUGCCACGGUGAAUACGUUCCCGGGCCUUGUACACACCGCCCGUCACACCAUGGGAGUGGGUUGCAAAAGAAGUAGGUAGCUUAACCUUCGGGAGGGCGCUUACCACUUUGUGAUUCAUGACUGGGGUGAAGUCGUAACAAGGUAACCGUAGGGGAACCUGCGGUUGGA
rnacentral:rRNA from 1 species